CGGGGUGUAGCUCAGCUUGGCUAGAGCGCGCGCUUUGGGAGCGUGAGGCCGCAGGUUCAAAUCCUGUCACCCCGACCA
rnacentral:tRNA from 1 species